GCAGUGGAGCAGUAAAAAGAAAGGUGAAAACUUAUUUUUCAAAAGUCGGCUAUUGGGCUUGCUAGCAUUAACAUUAGCAAACAUCCUGGAGAGGACGAUGCUAACAUUAGCUCAGCUGCGCAUCAGCAUGAAACAGAGGCAGAGAGCCACAGCUCUGCCACAGACACCUCUUCACCUGCCGCCCCUUCACGUCCACUUGAGUGUGGAGUUGGAAGUUGUCAGAGACCUGGACUUAAAUGAUGUGGUGGAGGGAUUUUCAAGGAGUAAUUGACAGAAAGAAGACCUUCACAGGAGGUUGGUUACCAUGCAGUGCUGAGGCAGCUGCCAGCGUACCCUAGCAACAAAUACCGUAAACCCUCAAGGGCCGCGAGCGCCGACGGGAGAGUGACUCACAGUCCAUGUAUCCCAGCAUGCUUUGCCACUGUUGCCCUUCACCCCCUGACCCACCAUAAUGGCAGCAUAGAGAGAUGAAAAGAGCCAUGUGACAUGAGCGGACACAGUCGCUCCGGCCUCAUGCUGCUCGCUGCCUUUUCAGACACAGCUCACAUGGAGAGAGCGAAGACACGGGGCAGCUUGGGCAACAAGAGUCAACACAAUCAGCCAGAACAGAAGUCGUGUUCUUUUCUUUUCAUCCCUACAAAAGGGGGUUUGUGCAUGUUGAUAACAUACCUGCGCUUUUUUUUUUUUUUUUUUUUUUUUUUUUUUUAAAGAUGCUCUGUAAUGUAUUACUUUUUAAUGCCUGUUUUCAUUUUCCACUUCAGUGGUGCAGAAUAUUGCAGCUUUGUUUUUGCUCUCAGAAAUAACUCAUCAGAACAGAUUCCUGGAGAGGUUUAGUGACCAGAAGGAGCCAAAUGAGAAAAGCAAAAACACCAAUCUGUUGCGGUGCACACUUUCACCUUUAUUGUCCAACAGUCUCAGCACAUACAACGUUUACCCAGUAACAUUUACUGUGUGAAAAAGCACCAUCUGUGCUCGGAGCCAGCAAACCGCCGUACCUCAGUCAUCAUUCCUACAGUCCCUCUGCACUGUGACGGUAAUGGGACUUUAAAUCAGUGCCUUGCACCCUCAGGGUUCAUUACAAGGUGACAGCCCAUUGUUGCUGCUCUGUGACGACAACAAGUGGCAGUGGAAGGGGUGAGGGGGGGUCUGGAGAAAGUGAGGCAGAUGGUACGGAGAGAUGACAAUGGUGCCAUUUCACAGCGUAUCCUCCACCUGUGGUGUGACGGAGGCUGCUGUCGGGGGCUUUUGAUGCCUGCUGAGAUGAAUGCAAUGGAUGAACAUAUCUCUUACUGACAGCCUCCAUAUCAUUGCUGAUUGAGAUGUCUAGACAUCCACAACGGAGGGCUUUGAAAAUAAAACUUUGAGAGGAAUUGCUCAGCUCUGUGAAAUAUAGAAAACAUUUGUGUGAAAGUUGUAGAAAGAGUUCUUUGAAAUAUUAAAAUGACUGUGGGGAUGGCGUACAGAAAUGAAAGUUGGAAAAG